ensembl:miRNA
CUGCUGUGGGUGUUUCUCUGGCAGUGUCUUAGCUGGUUGUUGUGAGGAGUGAGAACGAAGCAAUCAGCAAGUAUACUGCCGCAGAAAUUCUUCGC